rnacentral:rRNA from 1 species
GAUGAACGCUGGCGGCGUGCUUAACACAUGCAAGUCGAACGAUGAAGCCCAGCUUGCUGGGUGAAUUAGUGGCGAACGGGUGAGUAACACGUGAGUAACCUGCCCUUAACUCUGGGAUAAGCCUGGGAAACUGGGUCUAAUACCGGAUAGGAGCGUCCACCGCAUGGUGGGUGUUGGAAAGAUUUAUCGGUUUUGGAUGGACUCGCGGCCUAUCAGCUUGUUGGUGAGGUAAUGGCUCACCAAGGCGACGACGGGUAGCCGGCCUGAGAGGGUGACCGGCCACACUGGGACUGAGACACGGCCCAGACUCCUACGGGAGGCAGCAGUGGGGAAUAUUGCACAAUGGGCGAAAGCCUGAUGCAGCGACGCCGCGUGAGGGAUGACGGCCUUCGGGUUGUAAACCUCUUUCAGUAGGGAAGAAGCGAAAGUGACGGUACCUGCAGAAGAAGCACCGGCUAACUACGUG